rnacentral:rRNA from 1 species
UUGACCGUGCAAAGGUAGCAUAAUCAUUAGUCCUUUAAUUGAGGGCUGGAAUGAAUGGUUUGACGAGGCAUUGACUGUCUCUAAGUAAUAAGUAGAAGUUAACUUCUGAGUUAAAAGGCUUAGAUUUAUAUAAAAGACGAGAAGACCCUAUAGAUCUUUAUAUAUUAAUAUUUUUGUUAUAUUUGGUAGUAUUUUUGACAAGUGUGUUACUGUAUUUUGUUGGGGUGACAUGAAG